UGUUGGGGGCUCUGCUGGAUUUCGCGGGUCACAGAGGCUGGAGUCCAGGCCAGCAAAGCAAAGGCAGGCUUCUCCAGAGGUCUGACCUCACUGACUUUUAGUCUCUGAGGCGCCAGUCCCUGGACUGUAGGGGUGACAGUAGAGUCUUCACAGCCAAAUAAAAGCGAUCCAGGGCCUCUGCUUUCCCUGAGGAAACUCCAUCGAAGGAAGAUUGCAAGAGCAGUUUUUUCGCAGUCAACAUUUGCAGAUACUCUGGAAAAUAGGAAGAGAACCCAACCCAACCCAAACUGAAAGUACCAAAAUAUGUGAAAUCCGUACAGCAAAGAUGAUGAGCUUUCUGGGAGGAGAUACUGAAAGAAGAGUAAUUCUGUCCAGGGGGUCACUUCGAGAUCAUCCCUCUCAACUGAUGCUACUGACCUUGGAGAUUAAGGAGAUGUUGAAAGCAGCACUGCAGUCUCAUAAUUUUGGAAGUCUCCCUUGAAAAGUUUCUUCAUGUCCAGAUACAUUUGUGAAACUGCUUCUAGAUGACAAGAUGUUAUACUUCAGUCUUUCCACCUAAUCCCAGCUCUUUGUGAACACAAGAGGAUGGGAGAACAUUCCUCACAGGAUUGGAUACUAUUAACACUGGGAAGUAAGUAGUAUUUUUGUUUUUAUUUGUGUUUUAUUAAAAGUGUUGUGUUUUUGUUUUUUUUGGUUUUGUGCUUUAUCUUCUCUAUAACUUUUAACACAUUCAGUUGAUUAAAUUUGAGCCUGUUUUCAUCUUAUGGUCUUCAAAUAGUUGUCUGUUUGCUUUUUCAUUUGUGUAUGUAUAUAUGUGCAUGUAGUGUGUUAGUAGCUGUGCACAUGUAUGUACAUUAAUGUGCAUGCAGUGUGCAUAUGUGGUGUAUGUAUACAUACACCUUUGUGUGUGUGCAGAGGCCAGAGGAGUAUAUUGGCUGUCAGUAUUCUAUUCUGUCAGUGUCCACAUUAUUCCCCCUGGACAAGGUCUCUCACUUAGCCUGGAACUCACUGAUGCACUAGAUUGGUUGGCCAGAAAGUUUAUGGGAUCUAUAUGUCACCACCUUACAGUGCUGGGCUUAUAGGUGAACUGACAUUUCCAGAUUUUACUUGAAUGGUAGGUAUCUGAAUUGAGUUCCUAAUGUUUGCACAAAAAGUAUUCAUACCCACUGAGAUAUCCCCUCAUCCUUACUUUUAUUUUAAAUUAAAUUCAUUUUAGUUGCUACCUGAAAUCAUAAAAGGUGUAUAUAUUUAUAGACUAUCGACUAUCAAGUGAGGAUGUGAGUUUUUCAUACUUUUUGUAUAAUCUUUUUAUUUUUUGGUUUUUCAAGACAGGGUUUCUCUGUGUAGCU